UACGUAGGUGGCAAGCGUUGUCCGGAUUUACUGGGCGUAAAGAGCGCGCAGGCGGUCGUUCAAGUCGCGUGUGAAAGCCCCCGGCUCAACUGGGGAGGGUCACGCGAUACUGAUCGACUCGAAGGCAGGAGAGGGAAGUGGAAUUCCCGGUGUAGUGGUGAAAUGCGUAGAUAUCGGGAGGAACACCAGUGGCGAAGGCGACUUCCUGGCCUGUUCUUGACGCUGAGGCGCGAAAGCUGGGGGAGCAAACGGG
rnacentral:rRNA from 1 species